GGAUUGUUUUAAAGGCAAUAAACCAACAUUGACGAGAGUUGAGGUUUAGUCCGCGAGAGCUAUUUAGGAUUAAUGAGUUUUAUAUUGAUUUUCAAAGGUACUUAUAUAGGUAAGUGAGCGCGUGAGAGCUGAGCAUUUAUUUUAUCUAAGUAUAACGCUAGUCAAGAUUUGCGAGAGCNNNNNNAGUAAAAAUCAAUAGAGCGAGAGCGUGAGAUUUCUACUAGAUAGUAAAAACUGAACAUUAAAUCUAAUUCGCAACGAGAGUUGGGAUUAGAGUUAAUUAAAUUAUAUUGCUUUCAAAGAGUAUUUUAUUAGUGGGUGUGAGGACGAGAGUUAAGCAUCAACUUUAUAAUUUAUAAUACUAGUCAAGAUUUGCGAGAGCUGAGAUUGGUACUUUUAAAUCAAUAUAGUUUCGAAAAUUUAACAGUUUGUCUAGCGCGAAUUAAGCAUUGAACCCUCUGAAGCAACUAAUAGCACGUCCUAGCAAUAUUUUAUUUACAUAUAACAAAUAUAAAAAAUAUUUAUUUUUCUUAUUUUAAUUAAUUAUUCAAUUAAUCAAAAUCCUUUAAAUCAUUAGCCUUAGAUUUACAAAGCAACACUAGAAU
rnacentral:lncRNA from 1 species